AGAGUUUGAUCUGGCUAAGAUUGAACGCUGGCGGUAUGCCUUAUACAUGCAAGUUGAACGGGAGCGCGGAAAUCGGUCUGGCGGCGAGUGGCGAACGGGUGAGUAAUACAUCCCAACGUACCCUGUUGUGGGGGAUAAAUAAUCGAAAGAUUAGCUAAUACCGCAUACGACCUGAGGGUGAAAACGGGGGACCCAAAAGCCUCCCGCACAAGGAGCGGGCCAUGUCUCAUUAACUACUUCGUGGGGUAAAAGGCCACCAAAGCGACGAUUAAUAAGUGGUCUGAGAGGAAGAUUAACCACACUGGGACUGAGAAAAGGGCCAGAAUUCUAAGGGAGGGAACAGUGGGGAAUUUUUGAAAAUUGGGGGAAACCUUAUCCACCAAUUCAGCGUGUGUGAAAAAAGGCUUCAAGUUGUAAAACAAUUUUUUUCGGAAAGAAAUUUCUCUUCCUAAUAACUCGGGUAGAUGAAGGUACCGGAAGAAUAAACACCGGCUAAAUACCUGCCAGC
rnacentral:rRNA from 1 species